rnacentral:tRNA from 1 species
GGCGACGUGGCCGAGUGGUUAAGGCAGCGGUCUGCAAAACCGUUUUUAACCAGUUCGAUUCUGGUCGUCGCCUCCA